AGCCAAGGAUUGUCCAUCUUAGCUGAGUGCAAGACAUUACUGAUAACAGAUAAGCUUCUACUAUGAGAACCCUUACUUUAUUGAGAAAUGUCUACAGACCUCUCGUAUUGAGGUGAGUCCUGAUUCUAUAAUAAACAAGCUUAUUU